UUCUGGUAGAUACAUGCUGUCAGACGAUGGUAGUGUUGUGCUGCUACAUGUCAGGACAUUCGUGAAGAAACACAAACAGAAGAUGGUAGUGCUAUGCUUCUGCAUGUCAGGACAUUCUGGUUGAAACAUGCAGACAGAAGAUGGUAUGAUGAUAUGCUGCUACAUGUCAGGACAUUCUCGUUGAAACAUGUAGACAGAAAAUGGUAAUGUUGUGCUGCUACAUGUAAGGACAUUUUGGUAGAAACAUACUGAGAGAAGAUGGUAGUGUUCUGCUGCUACAUAUCGGGACAUUCUGGUAGAAACAUACAGACAGAAAAAGGAAAUGUUGUG